GACGAACGCUGGCGGCAGGCUUAACACAUGCAAGUCGCACGAGAACGCUCUGGCUUUGCCAGGACAAGUACAGUGGCGGACGGGUGCGUAUCGCGUAGAUAACCUGCCCGGAGGCGCGGGAUAAUCACGGGAAACCGUGGCUAAUACCGCACGUCGUCUGGACCCCGCAUGGGGACCAGAUGAAAGCUUGGGGUUACCCAGGCGCCUUUGGAUGGGUCUGCGUUGGAUUAGCUUGUUGGUGAGGCAACGGCUCACCAAGGCGACGAUCCAUAGCUGGUCUGAGAGGACGAUCAGCCACACUGGGACUGAGACACGGCCCAGACUCCUACGGGAGGCAGCAGUGGGGAAUCUUGCACAAUGGGGUCACCCCUGAUGCAGCCAUGCCGCGUGGAGGAAGACACCCCUAUGGGGCGUAAACUCCUUUUCUGAACGAAGAAACCCCUGUAGGUUCAGGGCGCGACGGUAGUUCAGGAAUAAGCACCGGCUAACUCCGUGCCAGCAGCCGCGGUAAUACGGAGGGUGCAAGCGUUGUCCGGAAUCACUGGGUGUAAAGGGUGUGCAGGCGGGGCAGCAAGUCGGAUGUGAAACCCCAUGGCUUAACCAUGGAGGUGCAUUCGAAACUGUUGCUCUUGAGUCCCGGAGAGGCUGUCGGAAUUCGUGGUGUAGCGGUGAAAUGCGUAGAUAUCACGAGGAACACCAGAGGCGAAAGCGGGCAGCUGGACGGGUACUGACGCUCANGCACGAAAGCGUGGGGAGCAAACAGGAUUAGAUACCCUGGUAGUCCACGCCGUAAACGAUGAACGCUCGCCGUUGCCCCGCUCAAGGGGCAGUGGCUAGGUUAACGCGUUAAGCGGUUCACCUGGGUUCGUACGAUCGCAUGGUAGAAAAUGAAAGGAAUUGACGGGAGUCGGCACAAGCGGUCGCGCAUGUGGGUGAAUUUGAUGCAAUGCGAAGAACCUUGCAUAGCCUUGCAUGGUAGAGGACGGUUCAGGAAAGGUAGCUUACCGUAGGUUGCCUUUAGGGACGUAUUGCAUGGUAGUGCUCAGCUGUUGUCAUGUGAUGUUGGGUUAAGUCCGGCAAAGUGCGUAACCCAGGGUGAUACUUACCGUUGGGUAGCGCCGGGGAGUGUAGGGGAAUCGCGUGAGCAAGCAGGGACGAAGGUGGGGAAGGGGUGAAGUGAUCAUGGUCCUUAAUCGUCGGGAUGCACAGGUGUUCCAAUGGCCGGUACAAGGGGUAGCCACGUGUAGCGACGGAGCGAGUCCGAGAAAACCCGUGCCAGCUGGUAUCGGAUUGGACAAGUGUACUCCACUAAGCUGGAAUAGGCAGUAAUCGCGGAUCAUCAAUGAUGAGGAGAAUCGGUUCCAGUCCGUUGUACACACCGCCACUCAAGCCAUGGAAGGCGCAGAGCACCUGAAGUCACCGAAUGUACCUCGACCCAACGCCGGAGAGAGAGCGGCCGAAGGUGAGCUCAGUGACUGGGGCU
rnacentral:rRNA from 1 species